rnacentral:rRNA from 2 species
GGGUUGUGAGGUUAAGCGACCAAGCGUACACGGUGGAUGCCCUGGCAGUCAGAGGCGAUGAAGGACGUGCUAAUCUGCGAAAAGCGCCGGUAAGGUGAUAUGAACCGUUAUAACCGGCGAUGUCCGAAUGGGGAAACCCAGUGUGACUCGUCACACUAUCAUUAACUGAAUCCAUAGGUUAAUGAGGCGAACCGGGGGAACUGAAACAUCUAAGUACCCCGAGGAAAAGAAAUCAACCGAGAUUCCCCCAGUAGCGGCGAGCGAACGGGGAGGAGCCCAGAGCCUGAAUCAGCAUGUGUGUUAGUGGAAGCGUCUGGAAAGGCGCGCGAUACAGGGUGAGAGCCCCGUACACAAAAGCGCAUAUGCUGUGAGCUCGAUGAGUAGGGCGGGACACGUGGUAUCCUGUCUGAAUAUGGGGGGACCAUCCUCCAAGGCUAAAUACUCCUGACUGACCGAUAGUGAACCAGUACCGUGAGGGAAAGGCGAAAAGAACCCCGGCGAGGGGAGUGAAACAGAACCUGAAACCGUGUACGUACAAGCAGUGGGAGCCUCUCUUUAUGGGGGGUGACUGCGUACCUUUUGUAUAAUGGGUCAGCGACUUAUAUUCUGUAGCAAGGUUAACCGCAUAGGGGAGCCGAAGGGAAACCGAGUCUUAACCGGGCGUUAAGUUGCAGGGUAUAGACCCGAAACCCGGUGAUCUAGCCAUGGGCAGGUUGAAGGUUGGGUAACACUAACUGGAGGACCGAACCGACUAAUGUUGAAAAAUUAGCGGAUGACCUGUGGCUGGGGGUGAAAGGCCAAUCAAACCGGGAGAUAGCUGGUUCUCCCCGAAAGCUAUUUAGGUAGCGCCUCGUGAACUCAUCUCCGGGGGUAGAGCACUGUUUCGGCUAGGGGGCCAUCCCGGCUUACCAACCCGAUGCAAACUGCGAAUACCGGAGAAUGUUAUCACGGGAGACACACGGCGGGUGCUAACGUCCGUCGUGAAGAGGGAAACAACCCAGACCGCCAGCUAAGGUCCCAAAGUCAUGGUUAAGUGGGAAACGAUGUGGGAAGGCCCAGACAGCCAGGAUGUUGGCUUAGAAGCAGCCAUCAUUUAAAGAAAGCGUAAUAGCUCACUGGUCGAGUCGGCCUGCGCGGAAGAUGUAACGGGGCUAAACCAUGCACCGAAGCUGCGGCAGCGACACUGUGUGUUGUUGGGUAGGGGAGCGUUCUGUAAGCCGUUGAAGGUGUCCUGUGAGGGGUGCUGGAGGUAUCAGAAGUGCGAAUGCUGACAUAAGUAACGAUAAAGCGGGUGAAAAGCCCGCUCGCCGGAAGACCAAGGGUUCCUGUCCAACGUUAAUCGGGGCAGGGUGAGUCGACCCUAAGGCGAGGCCGAAAGGCGUAGUCGAUGGGAAACGGGUUAAUAUUCCCGUACUUGGUGUUACUGCGAAGGGGGACGGAGAAGGCUAUGUUGGCCGGGCGACGGUUGUCCCGGUUUAAGCGUGUAGGCUGGUUUUCCGGCAAAUCCGGAAAAUCAAGGCUGAGGCGUGAUGACGAGGCACCACGGUGCUGAAGCAACAAAUGCCCUGCUUCCAGGAAAAGCCUCUAAGCAUCAGGUAACAUCAAAUCGUACCCCAAACCGACACAGGUGGUCAGGUAGAGAAUACCAAGGCGCUUGAGAGAACUCGGGUGAAGGAACUAGGCAAAAUGGUGCCGUAACUUCGGGAGAAGGCACGCUGACACGUAGGUGAAGUGAUUUACUCACGGAGCUGAAGUCAGUCGAAGAUACCAGCUGGCUGCAACUGUUUAUUAAAAACACAGCACUGUGCAAACACGAAAGUGGACGUAUACGGUGUGACGCCUGCCCGGUGCCGGAAGGUUAAUUGAUGGGGUCAGCGCAAGCGAAGCUCUGAUCGAAGCCCCGGUAAACGGCACCGUAACUAUAACGGUCCUAAGGUAGCGAAAUUCCUUGUCGGGUAAGUUCCGACCUGCACGAAUGGCGUAAUGAUGGCUGGCUGUCUCCACCCGAGACUCAGUGAAAUUGAACUCGCUGUGAAGAUGCAGUGUACCCGCGGCAAGACGGAAAGACCCCGUGAACCUUUACUAUAGCUUGACACUGAACAUUGAGCCUUGAUGUGUAGGAUAGGUGGGAGGCUUUGAAGCGUGGACGCCAGUCUGCGUGGAGCCGACCUUGAAAUACCACCCUUUAAUGUUUGAUGUUCUAACGUGGACCCGUAAUCCGGGUUGCGGACAGUGUCUGGUGGGUAGUUUGACUGGGGCGGUCUCCUCCUAAAGAGUAACGGAGGAGCACGAAGGUUGGCUAAUCCUGGUCGGACAUCAGGAGGUUAGUGCAAUGGCAUAAGCCAGCUUGACUGCGAGCGUGACGGCGCGAGCAGGUGCGAAAGCAGGUCAUAGUGAUCCGGUGGUUCUGAAUGGAAGGGCCAUCGCUCAACGGAUAAAAGGUACUCCGGGGAUAACAGGCUGAUACCGCCCAAGAGUUCAUAUCGACGGCGGUGUUUGGCACCUCGAUGUCGGCUCAUCACAUCCUGGGGCUGAAGUAGGUCCCAAGGGUAUGGCUGUUCGCCAUUUAAAGUGGUACGCGAGCUGGGUUUAGAACGUCGUGAGACAGUUCGGUCCCUAUCUGCCGUGGGCGCUGGAAGACUGAGGGGCUGCUCCUAGUACGAGAGGACCGGAGUGGACGCAUCACUGGUGUUCGGGUUGUCAUGCCAAUGGCACUGCCCGGUAGCUAAAUGCGGAAAAGAUAAGUGCUGAAAGCAUCUAAGCACGAAACUUGCCCCGAGAUGAGUCUUCCUGAGACCUUGAGUCUCCUGAAGGAACGUUAAAGACGAUGACGUUGAUAGGCCGGGUGUGUAAGCGCAGCGAUGCGUUGAGCUAACCGGUACUAAUGAACCGUGAGGCUUAACCUUACAACGCCGAAG